GACGAACGCUGGCGGCGUGCCUAAUACAUGCAAGUAGAACGCUGAAGGAGGAGCUUGCUUCUCUGGAUGAGUUGCGAACGGGUGAGUAACGCGUAGGUAACCUGCCUGGUAGCGGGGGGUAACUAUUGGAAACGAUAGCUAAUACCGCAUAAUAGCAGUUGUUGCAUGAUAACUGUUUGAAAGGUGCAAUUGCACCACUACCAGAUGGACCUGCGUUGUAUUAGCUAGUUGGUGGGGUAACGGCUCACCAAGGCGACGAUACAUAGCCGACCUGAGAGGGUGAUCGGCCACACUGGGACUGAGACACGGCCCAGACUCCUGCGGGAGGCAGCAGUAGGGAAUCUUCGGCAAUGGACGGAAGUCUGACCGAGCAACGCCGCGUGAGUGAAGAAGGUUUUCGGAUCGUAAUGCUCUGUUGUAAGAGAAGAACGAGUGUGAGAGUGGAAAGUUCACACUGUGACGGUAUCUUACCAGAAAGGGACGGCUAACUACGUG
rnacentral:rRNA from 1 species